GUGUGUGUGUGUGUGUGUGUGAUCGUAUUAUCGUUAAUGGACAGAAUUCACUUUUCAAUAUCAUCGAAUCGUCAUCAUCAACGUUUGACAAUUAGCCAAAAAAAAUUCAUUUCAUUCUUUUGUGUCAAGAAACAACAUUUUUUUUCAGUGUCAAGAAUUUAUUUAGCUGUUGAUUGAAAAGGAAAACCAGAGCAAAAAAAAAAUGUCAUCAAACAUCCAAAGUGGUGGCAACAAUAAGACCAUCAGCGAUAAUUUUAUGAGACAAUUUCGUGAUAAAAAUACACGACAAUUGAAAAAUUUAACAUCAACACAAUUCAUGGAAGUAUGGAGCCAUUAUGAUCAUGAUGGAAAUGGCUACAUUGAAGGACGUGAAUUGGACAAUUUUCUACGUGAAUUUGUAUCAUCAGUCAAUACUACUGAUGUUGGAGCAGAGCUGGUUACCGAUUCAAUGUUUGCCGAAUUGAAAGAAUGUUUUAUGGAAUCAUUCGAUGCAAAUAAAGAUGGUAAAAUUGAUAUUCGUGAGCUAGCACAAUUAUUACCAUUGGAUGAAAGUUUUCUUCUUUUGUUCCGUUUUGAUAAUCCAUUGGAAUCAUCGGUUGAAUUUAUGAAGAUUUGGCGUGAAUAUGAUACCGAUGGCAGUGGAUUUAUCGAAGCAGAUGAACUAAAAAAUUUUUUAAAAGAUCUUUUACGUGAAGCAAAACGUGAACAAAUCGAUGAAGAUAAAUUGAUUGAAUAUACGGAUACAUUAUUACAGAUAUUUGAUGCAAAUAAAGAUGGUAAAUUACAGCUAAGUGAAAUGGCAAAAUUAUUGCCAGUUAAAGAAAAUUUUCUUUGCCGUUCAUCAUUCAAAGGAGCCACCAAAUUGACUAAAGACGAUAUUGAACGUGUUUUUGCACUCUACGAUCGGGAUGAAAAUGGUACCAUUGAAAAUGAAGAGCUCAAAGGUUUUCUUAAAGAUUUACUUGAAUUAGUCAAAAAGGAUUAUGAUGCUCAAGAUUUAGCUGAAUUUCAAAAGGCAAUAUUACAUGGCUGCGAUUAUAAUAAAGAUGGUAAAAUAAAUAAAAAAGAAUUGACAAUGAUUUUGUUGGCAUUGUCGAAACAUUCACCAGAUGGAUAAUGAAUGAAUAAAUGAAUCAAUGAAACGAAAACACAUACAGAAUUUAUGAAUCGCCCACAGUUUGCUUUAAUAAUGUCAGAAGAAGCAAAAACAAAAAAAAACAAAAAACAUCAUCAAUUCAACAGAAUAAAUUCUGAUGUUCAUCUCUGAUUUAUUUCAUCAUCCAAUUUUGUUUGUUAUGAUAACCACAUACCAGUUAUUAUUAUUAUUAUUAUUCGUUAACCUGAAUUAAUUUUUGCACAUAUAAUCUACGACGAGUAAAUCAUCAUCGCCUUUUUAAAAUUCGAUUCAAUUGGUUUGUUGUUUUUUUUUUUUCUGAUUCAUCGGAAACAAAUCUGUCAAAUUUUCAAGAAUUCAGAAAUGAAAACAAAAACAAAAAUGAUCAUCAAGAGAGACCACCCAUUAUUAUGUUGAUUAACUCUGGCCAACUACCAAAAUUUUGCCACCAACGAAUUUUGCUUUCACUUUUUCUUUAUUGUUUUUGAAUGAAAUCACACAAUACAUACACAAUCGAUCGAUCGAUCGAUCAAUCAAUCAAUCAAUUGAUACAAUUGUUAUACUACACACACACACACGCGAACAUUUUUUUUUUUUAUUAUACCUAAGCUUUCUAACUAGUGUAGUAGUGAUCAUCAUUUCUUUUAAUAUUACCGCAACCAUAAAAACAAAUUCAAAUAUUUCCCACUAUUUGGCCAUUGUUUUGACAAUUUCAAUUUAUAUUCAUCAUCAUCAUCAUCAUCAAGUGAACAACAGUAACCAGAACAUCAUCAUCAUCAUCAUCUUUAAUGCUAAUCAAUCAAUCAAUCAAUCAAUCAAAUAGGUACAUCAUGAAUAAUUAGAUUUGCAAACAAAAUAGUAAAUAGAAAAAAGAAAUUCUGCUUGUGCGCGCGGUGUGCAUUAUGUCUGGGAAAAAAAUUUUUUUUUUUUGGGCCAUAAAGAUCACACAAUUACCGGUGCCCUGAUAUAGAUAACCGAGCCAAAAAAAAAAAUUUUCCACUCGACUGAAAAAUCAUUCAACCG